CUUCCAGUAGCACCUUAGAGACCAACUAAGUUUGUUAUUGGUAUGAGCUUUCAUAUGCACGCACACUUCUUCAGAUAAGUGUGCAUGCACAUGAAAGCUCACACCAAUGACAAACUUAGUUGGUCUCUAAGGUGCUACUGGAAG
rnacentral:miRNA from 1 species